rnacentral:rRNA from 1 species
GGGUUGUGAGGUUAAGCGACUAAGCGUACACGGUGGAUGCCCUGGCAGUCAGAGGCGAUGAAGGACGUGCUAAUCUGCGAAAAGCGUCGGUAAGGUGAUAUGAACCGUUAUAACCGGCGAUGUCCGAAUGGGGAAACCCAGUGCAAUUCGUUGCACUAUCGUUAACUGAAUACAUAGGUUAACGAGGCGAACCGGGGGAACUGAAACAUCUAAGUACCCCGAGGAAAAGAAAUCAACCGAGAUUCCCCCAGUAGCGGCGAGCGAACGGGGAGCAGCCCAGAGUCUGAAUCAGCUUGUGUGUUAGUGGAACGGUCUGGAAAGUCCGACGGUACAGGGUGAUAGUCCCGUACACCAAAAUGCACAGGCUGUGAACUCGAAGAGUAGGGCGGGACACGUGGUAUCCUGUCUGAAUAUGGGGGGACCAUCCUCCAAGGCUAAAUACUCCUGACUGACCGAUAGUGAACCAGUACCGUGAGGGAAAGGCGAAAAGAACCCCGGCGAGGGGAGUGAAAAAGAACCUGAAACCGUGUACGUACAAGCAGUGGGAGCACCUUCGGGUGUGACUGCGUACCUUUUGUAUAAUGGGUCAGCGACUUAUAUUCUGUAGCAAGGUUAACCGUAUAGGGGAGCCGCAGGGAAACCGAGUCUUAACUGGGCGUUAAGUUGCAGGGUAUAGACCCGAAACCCGGUGAUCUAGCCAUGGGCAGGUUGAAGGUUGGGUAACACUAACUGGAGGACCGAACCGACUAAUGUUGAAAAAUUAGCGGAUGACUUGUGGCUGGGGGUGAAAGGCCAAUCAAACCGGGAGAUAGCUGGUUCUCCCCGAAAGCUAUUUAGGUAGCGCCUCGUGAACUCAUCUUCGGGGGUAGAGCACUGUUUCGGCUAGGGGGUCAUCCCGACUUACCAACCCGAUGCAAACUACGAAUACCGAAGAAUGUUAUCACGGGAGACACACGGCGGGUGCUAACGUCCGUCGUGAAGAGGGAAACAACCCAGACCGCCAGCUAAGGUCCCAAAGUCAUGGUUAAGUGGGAAACGAUGUGGGAAGGCACAGACAGCCAGGAUGUUGGCUUAGAAGCAGCCAUCAUUUAAAGAAAGCGUAAUAGCUCACUGGUCGAGUCGGCCUGCGCGGAAGAUGUAACGGGGCUAAACCAUGCACCGAAGCUGCGGCAGCGACACUAUGUGUUGUUGGGUAGGGGAGCGUUCUGUAAGCCUGCGAAGGUGACCUGUGAGGGUUGCUGGAGGUAUCAGAAGUGCGAAUGCUGACAUAAGUAACGAUAAAGCGGGUGAAAAGCCCGCUCGCCGGAAGACCAAGGGUUCCUGUCCAACGUUAAUCGGGGCAGGGUGAGUCGACCCCUAAGGCGAGGCCGAAAGGCGUAGUCGAUGGGAAACAGGUUAAUAUUCCUGUACUUGGUGUUACUGCGAAGGGGGGACGGAGAAGGCUAUGUUAGCCGGGCGACGGUUGUCCCGGUUUAAGCAUGUAGGCUGAUUAUCCAGGCAAAUCCGGAUAAUCAAGGCUGAGGUGUGAUGACGAGGCACUACGGUGCUGAAGUAACAAAUGCCCUGCUUCCAGGAAAAGCCUCUAAGCAUCAGGUAACAUCAAAUCGUACCCCAAACCGACACAGGUGGUCAGGUAGAGAAUACCAAGGCGCUUGAGAGAACUCGGGUGAAGGAACUAGGCAAAAUGGUGCCGUAACUUCGGGAGAAGGCACGCUGGUGUGUAGGUGAAGUCCCUGCGGAUGGAGCUGAGACCAGUCGAAGAUACCAGCUGGCUGCAACUGUUUAUUAAAAACACAGCACUGUGCAAACACGAAAGUGGACGUAUACGGUGUGACGCCUGCCCGGUGCCGGAAGGUUAAUUGAUGGGGUUAUCCGUAAGGAGAAGCUCUUGAUCGAAGCCCCGGUAAACGGCGGCCGUAACUAUAACGGUCCUAAGGUAGCGAAAUUCCUUGUCGGGUAAGUUCCGACCUGCACGAAUGGCGUAAUGAUGGCCAGGCUGUCUCCACCCGAGACUCAGUGAAAUUGAACUCGCUGUGAAGAUGCAGUGUACCCGCGGCAAGACGGAAAGACCCCGUGAACCUUUACUAUAGCUUGACACUGAACAUUGAGCCUUGAUGUGUAGGAUAGGUGGGAGGCUUUGAAGCGUGGACGCCAGUCUGCGUGGAGCCAACCUUGAAAUACCACCCUUUAAUGUUUGAUGUUCUAACGUUGGCCCCUUACCGGGGUUGCGGACAGUGUCUGGUGGGUAGUUUGACUGGGGCGGUCUCCUCCCAAAGCGUAACGGAGGAGCACGAAGGUUAGCUAAUCCUGGUCGGACAUCAGGAGGUUAGUGCAAUGGCAUAAGCUAGCUUGACUGCGAGCGUGACGGCGCGAGCAGGUGCGAAAGCAGGUCAUAGUGAUCCGGUGGUUCUGAAUGGAAGGGCCAUCGCUCAACGGAUAAAAGGUACUCCGGGGAUAACAGGCUGAUACCGCCCAAGAGUUCAUAUCGACGGCGGUGUUUGGCACCUCGAUGUCGGCUCAUCACAUCCUGGGGCUGAAGUAGGUCCCAAGGGUAUGGCUGUUCGCCAUUUAAAGUGGUACGCGAGCUGGGUUUAGAACGUCGUGAGACAGUUCGGUCCCUAUCUGCCGUGGGCGCUGGAGAAUUGAGGGGGGCUGCUCCUAGUACGAGAGGACCGGAGUGGACGCAUCACUGGUGUUCGGGUUGUCAUGCCAAUGGCACUGCCCGGUAGCUAAAUGCGGAAGAGAUAAGUGCUGAAAGCAUCUAAGCACGAAACUUGCCCCGAGAUGAGUUCUCCCUGAGACUUUAAGUCUCCUGAAGGAACGUU